rnacentral:sRNA from 21 species
GUGAACUACCACUAAGCUGAAGACGCAGCAGCUUCUUCGGAAGUCGUCGGGUCUGCGGUUUGGGAGCUUUUUAGGAAGCUCAAGUUCACCAGACUCCUCAUCAGAAAUGAUGAGACCGUUUGAAAGGUCAUGACACCUGCGGUUGACGCAUCAGACCGCUGCUCUGUC